AGAAACAGCAGUCGCCGCGGUAAUACGUAGGUGGCAAGCGUUGUCCGGAAUUAUUGGGCGUAAAGCGCGCGCAGGCGGAUCAGUUAGUCUGUCUUAAAAGUUCGGGGCUUAACCCCGUGAUGGGAUGGAAACUGCUGAUCUAGAGUAUCGGAGAGGAAAGUGGAAUUCCUAGUGUAGCGGUGAAAUGCGUAGAUAUUAGGAAGAACACCAGUGGCGAAGGCGACUUUCUGGGCGAAAACUGACGCUGAGGCGCGAAAGCCAGGGGAGCGAACGGGAUUAGAUACCCGUGUAGUCCCUGUCUCUUAUACA
rnacentral:rRNA from 1 species